rnacentral:lncRNA from 1 species
GCUGGGAAGUCCUGGCUGUUGUGGUCCCUGUGCCCCCCUUUACCUGCCUGCUCCGGGACCUGGUGCCUGCCACCAACUACAGCCUCAGGGUGCGCUGUGCCAAUGCCUUGGGGCCCUCUCCCUAUGCUGACUGGGUGCCCUUUCAGACCAAGGGUCUAGCCCCAGCCAGCGCUCCCCAAAACCUCCAUGCCAUCCGCACAGAUUCAGGCCUCAUCUUGGAGUGGGAAGAAGUGAUCCCCGAGGCCCCUUUGGAAGGCCCCCUGGGACCCUACAAACUGUCCUGGGUUCAAGACAAUGGAACCCAGGCCAGCAGGGCCCUCCUCACAGCCGCACAUCCUGGGUACCUGUGGUCCUUGGUGUGCUAACGGCCCUGGUGACGGCUGCUGCCCUGGCCCUCAUCCUGCUUCGAAAGAGACGGAAAGAGACGCGGUUUGGGCAAGCCUUUGACAGUGUCAUGGCCCGGGGAGAGCCAGCCGUUCACUUCCGGGCAGCCCGGUCCUUCAAUCGAGAAAGGCCCGAGCGCAUCGAGGCCACA